ensembl:rRNA 5S_rRNA 5S ribosomal RNA
UAGUGCAGCCAUACCACCCUGAACACGCCUGAUCCCGGAAGCUAAGCAGGGUCGGGCCAGGUUGUACUUGGAUGUGAAACCGCCUGGGAAUACCAGGUGCUGUAAAAA